ACGGCUCAGUAACACGUGGAUAACCUGCCCUUGGGUCCGGCAUAACCCCGGGAAACUGGGGAUAAUUCCGGAUAACGCACAUAUGCUGGAAUGCUUUAUGCGUAAAAUGGAUUCGUCUGCCCAAGGAUGGGUCUGCGGCCUAUCAGGUAGUAGUGGGUGUAAUGUACCUACUAGCCAACAACGGGUACGGGUUGUGAGAGCAAGAGCCCGGAGAUGGAUUCUGAGACAUGAAUCCAGGCCCUACGGGGCGCAGCAGGCGCGAAAACUUUACAAUGCGGGAAACCGUGAUAAGGGGACACCGAGUGCCAGCAUCAUAUGCUGGCUGUCCGGGUGUGUAAAAUACACCUGUCAGCAAGGGCCGGGCAAGACCGGUGCCAGCCGCCGCGGUAACACCGGCGGCCCGAGUGGUGAUCGUGAUUAUUGGGUCUAAAGGGUNNNNANNCGGUUUGGUCAGUCCUCCGGGAAAUCUGACGGCUCAACCGUUAGGCUUUCGGGGGAUACUGCCAGGCUUGGAACCGGGAGAGGUAAGAGGUACUACAGGGGUAGGAGUGAAAUCUUGUAAUCCCUGUGGGACCACCUGUGGCGAAGGCGUCUUACCAGAACGGGUUCGACGGUGAGGGACGAAAGCUGGGGGCACGAACCGGAUUAGAUACCCGGGUAGUCCCAGCCGUAAACGAUGCUCGCUAGGUGUCAGGCAUGGCGCGACCGUGUCUGGUGCCGCAGGGAAGCCGUGAAGCGAGCCACCUGGGGAGUACGGCCGCAAGGCUGAAACUUAAAGGAAUUGGCGGGGGAGCAC
rnacentral:rRNA from 1 species